GUUUUUUCCUAUUUUUAAGCAGCAAAGUACUAAAAUGCAGUGCCAAAGCUUUUUCUUCCAGUAUUUCCAUCCCAUUAGAAACCACAAAAGUAAGGCAAAUGCUGAGAGCAAGCUUCUUCCUGCAAAACUUCCAGUUCAAUCUGUUGAGCACAGAGGUUUGGAUGAGUUUGAUUAAGCUUGCAAAGGUUGACUCAGCCCUUCAUCCUUCACUGGGACCAACGGGAGCCGGCCAGCUGGACGACAGACCCACCUCCCCAGCCCCUGAAGCUAUUAGCAUGAAGAAACCUAUGCCAGAUUCCAGGAAAAGCAUUGAGGUUGGGGUUUCCUCAUUACCAGAAAUCUAA
rnacentral:lncRNA from 1 species